rnacentral:lncRNA from 1 species
CCAUGAUGGUUUUGAGGCCCUGGGCCUCAAGUUUGUUUUGCUUCAGCCCAAGGUAAACAUGCCUGUUUAAUUUAUGGAGAAACAUCUGCAGAGUCCAGUUUUAUGGCUUGUUCUUUGAAACGAUCACUUCGGAUACAUAAAAAAUGAGGUCAGUAACAUUGAGUCCCAAAGCAAAGAGCCGGCCUUUCCGGGCUCACCACGUAGCUUCCUCCCCGGCCCUGCUCAUGGCCCUGCCUGGCUGUCUCCUCUGCCUGGAGGCCUCUCACUCACCUUUAGGGUGGGCUCCUGGCAGGGCAGGGUGGCCUGAGGGGCCUUAGGGAGGAUUUAGGGGUGAACACCCAAGAUCCCGGGUCCAUGAGAUUCCUGGAGCCAGGAGAAGGUGGCUUCACCACUCAAUUCAGUCAUAGGGACCAGCCAGGCCCAGUCCCACAGAUGAGGAGUCCUGGAGGGUCCUAGGCCUGGUAAGGGUGGUCCUGGUUCUACAGGGGGUCCCCUGGAGAGUCCCGUGAGUACUUGGGGGAGAUCCCCUGGUGGGCAAAGCAGCCCACGAGGGAAGCACCUCAGCCACACCCCUCCCUGGUCAGCUCAGGUCCUCAGGAAGCAGAUGCUGAGCGGACCUGGGGCAUGCGACAGGUGACAGUAAUGCCCAGAAGAGAUGGGGCGUCAGGAGUCACCCGACUGGCCUGAAAAUCUGAUGGCACCUCCAGCGCCACGGCGAGCUCUGGGGCCAGGGCCACCUGCUGCAGGGACCACGGGUUGAGUGGCAACAUCCAGGCCCCAGCCACUUGCAUCUCAGCCACUGGAAAGAGACACACUUCUGCCCACUGAGAAGGUCCUCGG